rnacentral:rRNA from 1 species
GAUGAACGCUAGCGGCAGGCCUAACACAUGCAAGUCGAGGGGUAGAGUUAGCUUGCUAACUUGAGACCGGCGCACGGGUGCGUAACGCGUAUGCAAUCUACCUUGUACAGGGGGAUAGCCCAGAGAAAUUUGGAUUAAUACCCCAUAGCGUUAGGAUGCGGCAUCACAUUAUAACUAAAGUUCCAACGGUACAAGAUGAGCAUGCGCCACAUUAGCUAGUUGGUGUGGAAACGGCACAACAAGGAAAUGAUGGGUAGGGGUCCUGAGAGGGAGAUCCCCCACACUGGUACUGAGACACGGACCAGACUCCUACGGGAGGCAGCAGUGAGGAAUAUUGGUCAAUGGGCGCAAGCCUGAACCAGCCAUGCCGCGUGCAGGAUGACGGUCCUAUGGAUUGUAAACUGCUUUUAUACGGGAAGAAACACUCCUACGUGUAGGAACUUGACGGUACCGUAAGAAUAAGGAUCGGCUAACUCCGUGCCAGCAGCCGCGGUAACAC